rnacentral:rRNA from 1 species
AGUGAACGCUGGCGGUAGGCCUAACACAUGCAAGUCGAACGGCAGCACAGUAAGAGCUUGCCCUUACGGGUGGCGGGUGGCGGACGGGUGAGGAAUACAUCGGAAUCUACUUUUUCGUGGGGGACAACGUAGGGCAACUUAUGCUACUACCGCAUACGACCUACGGGUGAAAUCAGGAGAGCUUCGCACCUUGCGCGAUUGAAUGAGACGAUGCCGCAUUAGCUAGUUGGCGGGGUAACGGCACACCAAGGCAACGAUACGUAGCUGACCUGAGAGGAUGAUCGGCCACACUGGAACUGAGACACGGUCCAGACUCCUACGGGAGGCAGCAGUAGGGAAUAUUGCGCAAUGGGCGAAAGCCUGACCGAGCCACGCCGCGUGAGUGAUGAAGGUCUUCGGAUUGUAAAACUCUUUUGUUGGGGAAGAACAGCAGCGUAAUUAUACGUGGCUAUCCUGACGGUACCUAAAGAGAAAGCACCGGCUAACUUCGUG